CCACCAAUAGCAUCGACCAAAUCAUUAGAUAUUGCAUCUUUACCAGUCCAAAUUCUCCCUUGUGCAACCUCUUCCAUCUUGUCUAUAGUCAUUAAUCUUGAAAGAGCCGCAUCAUCUCGAAAUUGUUUAUACGCAAGACUCUUGGUAAAUUUCCCUGUUUUACGUGGCCUAGAAGAACCCUUUUUAGCAGCGUGGAGCUUGUAAAAGUCACCAUCAUCUGGAUAUUCUUUCAAUUUAAUCAUUCCAUCUAUAUUCUCAUUCUCAGGUAUUAAGUUUUCCAAGUCCACCCCAAUUGAACCAGUUAAGGUAAGAUUUUCCGCAACAAUAACUUAUGCGCCCAUUGCCAGAUCGGACCACGAAGCAAUAACUGGUUUUUUGGCAGCAAGAGACC
rnacentral:lncRNA from 1 species